rnacentral:rRNA from 1 species
CCGCAUACGAUCUGUGGAUGAAAGCAGGGGAUCUUCGGACCUUGUGCUAUUGGAAUGGCCGAUAUCUGAUUAGCUAGUUGGUAGGGUAAAAGCCUACCAAGGCGACGAUCAGUAGCUGGUCUGAGAGGACGACCAGCCACACUGGAACUGAGACACGGUCCAGACUCCUACGGGAGGCAGCAGUGGGGAAUUUUGGACAAUGGGGGCAACCCUGAUCCAGCAAUGCCGCGUGAGUGAAGAAGGCCCUCGGGUUGUAAAGCUCUUUUGUCAGGGAAGAAACGGAGUUCUCCAAUAUAGGAUUCUAAUGACGGUACCUGAAGAAUAAGCACCGGCUAACUACGUGCCAGCAGCCGCGGUAAUACGUAGGGUGCAAGCGUUAAUCGGAAUUACUGGGCGUAAAGCGUGCGCAGGCGGUUUUGUAAGUCUGAUGUGAAAUCCCCGGGCUCGACCUGGGAACUGCAUUGGAGACUGCAAGGCUAGAGUGUGUCAGAGGGGGGUAGAAUUCCACGUGUAGCAGUGAAUGCGUAGAGAUG